rnacentral:tRNA from 1 species
CGGGCCUGGGCCGAGGGCUGGGUGCGCCCGCUGCCGCCGCCGGUGAAGACCGGCAAGAAGGUCGCCGUCGUCGGCUCCGGCCCGGCGGGCCUGGCC